rnacentral:miRNA from 1 species
ACACUAGUGGCAGUUUAAUUUGUAGUUUUUUGGCACCAUGACUUAUUAUAAUAAGUAUGAUGCCAAAAAAACUAUACAUAUGGUGCCAAAAAAAAAUACAAAUUAAACUGCCACUAUUUU